rnacentral:rRNA from 1 species
GACAGAGGAUGCAAGCGUUAUCCGGAAUGAUUGGGCGUAAAGCGUCUGUAGGUGGCUUUUUAAGUCCGCCGUCAAAUCCCAGGGCUCAACCCUGGACAGGCGGUGGAAACUACCAAGCUGGAGUACGGUAGGGGCAGAGGGAAUUUCCGGUGGAGCGGUGAAAUGCGUAGAGAUCGGGAGGAACACCAGAGGCGAAGGCGGCGACCUGGACAAGUACUGACACUCAACUACGAAAGCGUGGGGAGCAAACAGG